CCCCUGAGACAUCUGCCAGGACAUUUUUUUUUUAAAUCCCCACUUUACAGUUAAGGAAACUGUGAUAACUUGCCCAAGAUUAC
rnacentral:miRNA from 1 species